rnacentral:rRNA from 1 species
CCGUGGGCGUUGGAAGAUUGAGAGGGGUUGCUCCUAGUACGAGAGGACCGGAGUGAACGCACCACUGGUGUUCGGGUUGUCAUGCCAAUGGCAUUGCCCGGUAGCUAAGUGCGGAAGAGAUAACCGCUGAAAGCAUCUAAGCGGGAAACUUGCCUCGAGAUGAGUCUUCCCUGUCGCUUUAAGUGACCUAAAGGAACGUUUAAGACUAAGACGUUGAUAGGCUGGGUGUGUAAGCGUAGCGAUACGUUGAGCUAACCAGUACUAAUGAACCGUGAGGCUUAACCUG